rnacentral:rRNA from 1 species
UACAGAGGGUGCAAGCGUUGUUCGGAAUUAUUGGGCGUAAAGCGCGUGUAGGCGGCUUUGCAAGUCGGGUGUGAAAGCCCUCAGCUCAACUGAGGAAGUGCGCCCGAAACUGCAGAGCUUGAGUGCCGGAGAGGGUGGCGGAAUUCCCCAAGUAGAGGUGAAAUUCGUAGAUAUGGGGAGGAACACCAACGGCGAAGGCAGCGCCCUGGACGAGACCUGACGCUCAGGCACGAAAGCUGGGGGAGCAAACAGG